rnacentral:misc_RNA from 1 species
GAAGGGGAAAAGCCUGCAAUAAUUGAGGUGCAAUUGAGUUUAGAGGAAAGGGCAAAGUAAAGAAACAGAAGUGAGAACAUUUAAAAAGUUACCAGCAACUGGAAUCAUCUAAAUCAGUAAAAAGGUAAAAAAUUAUUAACAGAGGACACACGUACAUUAAAUCAUCCCUUUCCAAUCAUCCAAAAAACAAUAUUGAAUCUCCAUGUACCAUGUACACCAUCUUAAAUGACAGGUAAAUCAUCUUAUUCUGAAAGCCUCAAUCUUCAAUAAGGCCUUAGAUCUUAAGAUAAAUUAUAAAUUAUUUAUAAUUUAUAGAUCUUAGUUCUUAAGAUAAUGGUAGAGUGCAUGAGAUUUUUACAAAUUAUUUAGACAACAUGAAUUACUCAGCCUGCAUCAUUUAUUUAUUAAUAAAAAAAUAUUCUACAAAUAUCUUAGUUAGAGAUACUUAAACGGCAAAAGAGCUUCUCAAAAGGUAAGAAGUAAGCAGAAUGUUUAGAAGAAAACUAAACUAGAUAUUCUGUAGAUGUAUCAAUGGCCUAUGAAGUUCUCUAAUCAACAGGAGAGUAGAGAGGUAAACAAUUGAAAGCAUCAUUCCUAAACGAACAGGAAACUACAAUGAGUUAAAGAAUUAAAAGCAUCAUUCCGGAAACAAAAAUCUAAAAAUAAAGAAACACAUCUAUGCAUGGAAUGAAGAAAACUUAACUAUAAGGAUUCUUUUCCAAGGUCACUCAG